rnacentral:rRNA from 1 species
CCUACGGGUGGCAGCAGUGGGGAAUAUUGGACAAUGAACGCAAGUCUGAACCAGCCAUGCCGCGUGCAGGAAGACGGCUCUAUGAGUUGUAAACGGCUUUUGUACGAGGGUAAACGCAGAUACGCGUAUCUGUCUGAAAGUAUCGUACGAAUAAGGAUCGGCUAACUUCGUUCCAGCAGCCGCGGUAAUACGGAGGAUUCAAGCGUUAUCCGGAUUUAUUGGGUUUGAAGGGUGCGUAGGCGGGCGGAUAAGUUAGAGGUGAAAUCCCGGGGCUCAACUUCGGAAUUGCCUUUGAUACUGUUCGGCUAGAGAGUAGUAGCGGUAGGCGGAAUGUAAGGUGUAGCGGUGAAAUGCUUAGAGAUAAUACAGAACACCGAUUGCGAAGGCAGCUUACCAAGCUACUUCUGACGUUGAGGCACGAAAGCGUGGGGAGCAAACAGGAUUAGAUACCCGAGUAGUC